GUGCCUUUGUGAGGGGGAUAACCAUUGGAAACGAUGGCUAAUACCGCAUAAUGUCUUAGGACCAAAGGGGGGAUUUCGGUCCUCUCGCACAAAGAGCGGCCCAAGUGAGAUUAGCUAGCUGGUGAGGUAAAGGCUCACCAAGGCGACGAUCUCUAGCUGUUCUGAGAGGAAGAUCAGCCACACUGGGACUGAGACACGGCCCAGACUCCUACGGGAGGCAGCAGUGGGGAAUAUUGCACAAUGGGGGAAACCCUGAUGCAGCCAUGCCGCGUGUGUGAAGAAGGCCUUCGGGUUGUAAAGCACUUUCAGGUGUGAGGAAAGCAAUCCGGUUAAUAGCCGUAUUGUGUGACGUUAACACCAGAAGAAGCACCGGCUAACUCCGUGCCAGCAGCCGCGGUAAUACGGAGGGUGCGAGCGUUAAUCGGAAUUACUGGGCGUAAAGCGCACGCAGGCGGUCUGUUAAGCUAGAAGUGAAAGCCCUGCGCUCAACGUGGGAAGGCCUUUUAGAACUGGCAGACUAGAGUUUUGGAGAGGGGAGUGGAAUUCCACGUGUAGCGGUGAAAUGCGUAGAUAUGUGGAGGAACAUCAGUGGCGAAGGGACUCUCUGGCCAAAGACUGACGCUCAUGUGCGAAAGUGUGGGUAGCGAACAGGAUUAGAUACCCUGGUAGUCCACACCGUAAACGCUGUCUACUAGCUGUGUGUGGUUUUAAAUCGUGCG
rnacentral:rRNA from 1 species